rnacentral:sRNA from 1 species
UUUUUUUAAAAUAAAUUACAAUAAUAUUAGAAAAAUAUGGAAUUAAAUUACAAAUUAAAACACCAAUUUGUUAAUAAUAUAAUACGGGUAAUAUAAAAUUUUUUUAAAUUUAAAAUGGCGUUUGUAAAUACGAAAAAAAAUCGUUCGAAAAAUUGUAUAACCAAUUCCGCCGGUUAAUAACGAUUGAAAAUAAACCACCGUCUAACGGCCAAUAUUUGGUAAAUCGCCGGUACCAAAUAUUAAUUCGAAAUAAACAAUUACGUUAUAAAAAAAUCGAAAUCCAAUAUAUUAAUUAAAUUUAAUACCAAAUUUGAAAAUAAUAAAAUUUGCAAAAAAGGAGGAUAUUAUAUUUAUAAAAAAAAGGAUUGCAAAUCCUGGAAAUAUUCCAGGGAAAAAUAACGUGCUGAAAAAAAAAAUUGGAAACGCGAAUAAAAAAAACGCGGCCAAAAUGGCCGUAAAUAUCGCACGUAUAUACAAAAUAUAAAAAAGUUUAAAAAAAACCAAUUUAGCAAUAAUUUCGAACUAUUUAAAACCGAAUUGGACGGUUUAUAUUACGAAAAAUUACCUGUAACGAAUUAUUAUAUAAUAAAAUAAAGGGCAAAAUUAUUAACCGACGAAACCUUCGUCCACAAAUUCCCAAAAAUUCGCGAAUACGGCGCAAAACCGUUAUUUGCGGUUUACAAAUAUAACGCAAAAUUUCCAAAAAUUCGCGAAUAUAAUAAAAAACCGUUAUUUGCACCCUACAAAUAUAAUAUAUAACCACCAAAAAUUCGCGAAUAUAAUAUAAAACCGUUACUUAUAACCUACAAUUACAAUAUAAAAUUUCCAAAAAUUCGCAAAUAUAAUUCGGUUAUGGGCGAUAAUCGUUUAAAAUAAACGUUUUUAUUAAAUUAUAUUAAAUGGAAAGGUUUUUUUCCGGAUAUUGGUGCAACGGAAUAUUUUACGGCGGAAUUUAAACAAUUUGUUAUUUUAAAACGCUAUAACCCAAAAUUAUAUAUGGAUAAAUAACGCGCCGGAAAAACAUAUAUUUGUUUUAAUUAAAAUAA